rnacentral:rRNA from 1 species
GACGAACGCUGGCGGCGUGCCUAAUACAUGCAAGUUGAGCGCUGAAGGUUGGUACUUGUACCGACUGGAUGAGCAGCGAACGGGUGAGUAACGCGUGGGGAAUCUGCCUUUGAGCGGGGGACAACAUUUGGAAACGAAUGCUAAUACCGCAUAAAAACUUUAAACACAAGUUUUAAGUUUGAAAGAUGCAAUUGCAUCACUCAAAGAUGAUCCCGCGUUGUAUUAGCUAGUUGGUGAGGUAAAGGCUCACCAAGGCGAUGAUACAUAGCCGACCUGAGAGGGUGAUCGGCCACAUUGGGACUGAGACACGGCCCAAACUCCUACGGGAGGCAGCAGUAGGGAAUCUUCGGCAAUGGACGAAAGUCUGACCGAGCAACGCCGCGUGAGUGAAGAAGGUUUUCGGAUCGUAAAACUCUGUUGGUAGAGAAGAACGUUGGUGAGAGUGGAAAGCUCAUCAAGGGACGGGAACUACCCAGAAAGGGACGGCGAACUACGG